UACGUAGGGGGCUAGCGUUGUCCGGAUUUAUUGGGCGUAAAGAGCGUGUAGGCGGCCAGGUAGGUCUGCUGUGAAAACUCGAGGCUCAACCUCGAGACGUCGGCGGAAACCCUCUGGCUAGAGUCCGGAAGAGGAGAGUGGAAUUCCUGGUGUAGCGGUGAAAUGCGCAGAUAUCAGGAAGAACACCCGUGGCUAAGGCGGCUCUCUAGUACGGUACUGACGCUGAGACGCGAAAGCGUGGGGAGCAAACAGG
rnacentral:rRNA from 1 species